rnacentral:hammerhead_ribozyme from 1 species
AUCUAGCUUACGAGUCCCAAAUAGGACGAAACGUGCGUCCUGGAU